AAUGUUUUCUUUUCUCCAGAUCAAUCCUUCAAAUACAUCUGUACGUUUACACAUGGGUCAGUCUUGACCAUGUUGACGUGACGGCGAAAACAGACAGUACGUCAAUAGCCGGAGUAGGUCUGUGAUUGUGAACAUUGGUGAAGGCGACUAUACAUUGUAUAGUUCCGUGUCGUAGUCGCUUGUUGAAAUGCGAAAGAGGAAGUAAUUAGAUAUACCGCCAGUUCAGCAAGGCCGAGCGAGCUAUGGAGACGGCAGCAAACAUGAGCGACUGGGUCAGCGGACGGGUUCAAGCUGCGGAAUUGACAAAUCCUGGUUUUCCUGGACCUGCAGCAUAGCAGCAAUGUCGACCAUUAGUAUUUACAUCCUCAGCCUGGAGUCCAAUACUUGCUCCCCAUGCCACCGGUACUACAACCUUGUGCCUUUCCGAAUGGGGUACAACCGGUACCUAUCACCGGAGCCCAACUUGGUGCAUAUACUAGCCUGCAGCACCAGGUUGUUCAAGGACAGCCCCCGGUCUUCGUUAAUGUCCCAUAUUGCCAACAGGGACUCAUUGCAAUUCCUCAGCCGCAGCCCCAGCAUGUCACUGUAGUACAUGCACAAACUCCCAUGCAGAGCCCAGCAUCGGCUGGAGUAUAUGCUGCAUAUCCUGGUGGAGGCCGGCUGUCACCCCCUAUCCCUCUCGUGCAGCUACCUCCUCCACCACCACCACCACCACCACCACGACUAUCACAACCGCCACCACCACGACCACCACGACUAUCACGACCACCACCACCACCACCACUACCACCAUCACCACCACCAUCACCGAAUCACUCAUACGGACAAGAUGUGGAACUGGAGGUGGAAAUGCAGGAAGACGCUCAGUCCAUUUCCGAUCAGAGCCAGGCCACUCAUGUAAGUCUGGAUUGCAAUGCUUCGCUUGUAUCUUCGCUACAAUAUGAUUCCGACACAGAGAGCAACACCCAGCCAGAACAAGUGGAAGCAUGCGCUUGGCAUGCUGAACAUCUGAGCGAAGACACUGAUGUUAGCAUGAUUUGCCAUGCUUCGUCUGUAUCGUCGCUACAAUAUGAUUCAGACAUAGAGAGCGACACUCAGCCAGAACAAAUGGAGGCAAGCGCUCGGCAUGCCGAACAUCUGCGCCAAGGCACCUAUUGUCAAGAUUCACGGCAAUCGUCAUGAGGAGAUUCUUUCGAAUUGAGAAGAAGCUAGAGAGGCAGGAGCAACUCCACCGCUUCCUCGAGUGCUUGGAUAGCAAUACACAUGCCUCUCUUGAAGAGUUAACUUUAAGUGCAAGAAACCAAUGGUACUAAACUGAAGUGAUAAAACUCUAACGAUACAUACGAACAUUUAAUGUCAAGGACGGAACGUACAGCUCUAUCAUGAAUAACCCAGACACUAUGUUUCACGAGUCUUGUAGUGUGCAUAUUCAAUACCCAGGUGUAAAUAUACCGUAGUGAAAACUGCAGUUUGUUGUUUGCACUUACAUGUAUGGCUAGAGUUUUAACAUAGGCUGCUGGUUCCACACAGUUGUUGCUUCUUUGUUGUUGUUGUUUGACAUCCUUUAUUCUCACUGUCCCGAUGCUUGUCUGUGAUCAAUAAGAGAAAUUGUUGUUUUUGCGCAUCACUUUUGUUGUUUCCAACUGUAUGGGGUUCAAUCACAGUGCCACCCGUUUUCAACAAGCCAGUAUUUUUCGCCACAGCUUCCAUUCAUGUAUUUUUUGUCUUCCACAUAUUUUCCAUUAGCAGUUUAGGACCAUGUGUUCCACCAUGGUAUCAGUGUAUGGUUGUAUGAUAACCAGGGGGAAGUCCCAUCAUAAGUAGUAGUAAGUGUCGGUGUUCUCCAGUGUUUUGCCUUGCUACCGUUUUCCUUAUCCGAUAGUGUUGCAACAAGUAAUUGGUUCUGUGAGUUUUGCGUGUGAAGACUGUGGUGU